rnacentral:rRNA from 1 species
GUAGCAAACAGGAUUAGAUACCCUGGUAGUCCACGCCGUAAACGAUGUCUACUAGUCGUUGGGUCCCUUGAGGACUUAGUGACGCAGCUAACGCAAUAAGUAGACCGCCUGGGGAGUACGGCCGCAAGGUUAAAACUCAAAUGAAUUGACGGGGGCCCGCACAAGCGGUGGAGCAUGUGGUUUAAUUCGAUGCAACGCGAAGAACCUUACCUGGUCUUGACAUAUCUAGAAUCCUGCAGAGAUGCGGGAGUGCCUUCGGGAAUUAGAAUACAGGUGCUGCAUGGCUGUCGUCAGCUCGUGUCGUGAGAUGUUGGGUUAAGUCCCGCAACGAGCGCAACCCUUGUCCUUAGUUACCAGCGGGUUAAGCCGGGAACUCUAAGGAUACUGCCAGUGACAAACUGGAGGAAGGCGGGGACGACGUCAAGUCAUCAUGGCCCUUACGACCAGGGCUACACACGUGCUACAAUGGUAGGUACAGAGGGCAGCUACACAGCGAUGUGAUGCGAAUCUCAAAAAGCCUAUCGUAGUCCAGAUUGGAGUCUGCAACUCGACUCCA